UGGAAGGGAAGGAAUUACACAAGAGCA
rnacentral:piRNA from 1 species